GCCGUCUUAGCUCAGCUGGCAGAGCACUUGACUUGUAAUCAUGAGGUCUUCGGUUCAAUUCCGAAAGACGGCU
rnacentral:tRNA from 1 species